GAUGAAGAACGCAGCGAAAUGCGAUAAGUAAUGUGAAUUGCAGAAUUCAGUGAAUCAUCGAAUCUUUGAACGCACAUUGCGCCCGCCAGUAUUUUGGCGGGCAUGCCUGUUCGAGCGUCAUUUCAACCAUCAAGCCCCCGGCUUGUGUUGGGGACCUGCGGCUGCCGCAGGCCCUGAAAUGCAGUGGCGGGCUCGCUGUCACUCCGAGCGUAGUAGUUACAUCUCGCUCUGGGCGUGCUGCGGGUUCCGGCCGUUAAAAGCCUUAUUUACCCAAGGUUGACCUCGGAUCAGGUAGGAAGACCCGCUGAACUUAAGCAUAUCAAUAAGCGGAGGA
rnacentral:misc_RNA from 1 species